rnacentral:rRNA from 1 species
UAGGGAAUCUUCCACAAUGGACGCAAGUCUGAUGGAGCAACGCCGCGUGAGUGAAGAAGGUUUUCGGACCGUAAAGCUCUGUUGUUGGUGAAGAAGGAUAGAGGUAGUAACUGGCCUUUAUUUGACGGUAAUCAACCAGAAAGUCACGGCUAACUACGUGCCAGCAGCCGCGGUAAUCGUAGGUGGCAAGCGUUGUCCGGAUUUAUUGGGCGUAAAGCGAGCGCAGGCGGAAGAAUAAGUCUGAUGUGAAAGCCCUCGGCUUAACC